rnacentral:rRNA from 1 species
AGAGUUUGAUCAUGGCUCAGGACGAACGCUGGCGGCGUGCCUAACACAUGCAAGUCGAGCGGAGACAGUGAGUAGCUUGCUAUGAGCUGUUUUAGCGGCGGACGGGUGAGUAACGCGUGAGCAACCUUUCCCAGACAGGGGAAUAACACACCGAAAGGUGUACUAAUACCGCAUAAGACCACGGGAUCACAUGGUUCUGGGGUAAAAGAUUUAUCGGUUUGGGGUGGGCUCGCGUCCGAUUAGGUAGUUGGUGAAGG